CCGUCAAAACAACAACCCAUAAAUAGAUGAGAUGGGAGUACUUCCAUCCUCCCAGACCGCGUUUUUUCCAUACUUAAAACAAAAACUAGAUCUCCGGCAAAACAAAAAAACACCACUGCAAACGCAAACCGAAACUCAAAUCUAAUCAAAUUCCAAUUUGAUCCCUUUUUAGGGUUUUCUUUUUCUUCUUCGUUUGGUUUUCUUCUUCGAAACCCUAACAGAUCGCAAACCCUAGAACAGUAGCAGAACCAUUGUAAUUCCAUCAUUGAUGUACGCCUACGACAACAGAUACACCGACGUCAACUCCUACCGUGAGCGCCGAAGUGACCUAAUGGGUCCAGCGCCUGCGGUGGCUCCGCCAGCGGGCCCCGCCUAUGGCCGCGGCGGUGGGGCAGCCCCGUAUGCGGGCCCAACGCCUCCGGUCGCCCCGUAUUCGGGACAAGUAGCUGGACCGGUAACCGGUCCAGGAGAUUUUAAUGGGUACCCGCCGUUCCAGCCCCCUUCGGGUCGGUUCAAUAUUGGGCGAGGUGGUGGUAAUGGGAGUUUUGGUGGCAGAGCCUCCAAUGGUCAUAUUGGUGGUGGAAGGGGCCGUGGCGGUGGUAGGGAUUUUGAUCGAGGCCGUGGCGGUGGCGGUGGCGGUAGGAGCUCUGGUUUUAGCCGCGGUGGAAGUGCGGGUUUUAGCGGUGGGCGUGGAUUUGGUGGAAGAGGAGGAGGUAGACAUGGUGGGUCAUCAAGAGGAGACUUGGAUAACAUUGUGCUUCCCAAGCAAGAUUUUGGGAGAUUGGUACCUUUUGAGAAGAAUUUCUAUGUUGAGAGCUCUUCGGUGAGGGCAAUGUCAGAGCAGGAGGUUAUGGUGUAUCGCAACAGGCGGGAGAUUACUGUCGAAGGGCAUGAUAUCCCAAAGCCGAUUCAGAUGUUUGAGGAUGCGAAUUUCCCUGAUUACUGCCUUGAUGCUAUUGCAAAAUUGGGUUUUGUUGAACCAACACCAAUUCAGGCCCAAGGAUGGCCAAUGGCAUUAAAGGGUAGAGAUUUAGUUGGAAUUGCCGAGACUGGUUCUGGUAAGACUUUGUCCUAUCUGCUGCCAGCUUUGGUGCAUAUUAGCGCACAGCCUCGGUUAGUGCCAGGUGAAGGUCCUAUUGUGCUAGUAUUAGCACCUACUCGAGAAUUGGCAGUUCAAAUUCAAGAAGAAUCUUCAAAAUUUGGCUCACGUUCUAAUAUUAGGAGUACUUGCAUUUAUGGUGGUGCUCCAAAAGGACCCCAGAUACGGGAUCUUAAAAGAGGGGUUGAGAUUGUCAUAGCUACACCUGGCCGACUGAUAGAUAUGUUGGAAGCACAGCACACAAAUUUGCGAAGAGUGACCUACCUAGUUUUGGAUGAGGCUGACAGGAUGUUGGACAUGGGAUUUGAGCCUCAGAUAAGGAAAAUUGUAUCACAAACCCGACCAGAUCGGCAGACAUUGUAUUGGAGUGCCACGUGGCCAAGGGAGGUUGAAACUUUAGCAAGGCAGUUUUUACGUAACCCAUAUAAGGUAAUCAUUGGAUCAGCAAGUCUUAAAGCAAAUCAAUCUAUAAAACAAGUUAUUGAAGUUGUGUCAGAUGGGGAGAAAUAUAAUAGGCUGAUCAAACUGCUCAAAGAAGCAAUCGUUGGGAGCCGAAUUCUGAUAUUUGUCGAGACGAAAAAAGGAUGUGACCAAGUUACUAAGCAAUUGAGGAUGGAUGGAUGGCCAGCUCUAUCCAUUCACGGUGAUAAAAACCAGGCCGAAAGGGACUGGGUCUUGGCUGAGUUUAAAAGUGGAAGGAAUCCUAUAAUGACUGCCACUGAUGUGGCUGCGCGGGGUCUUGGUAGGAUAACUGUGUGCUAGGAUUCUUAGGUGUCAUAUAAAUUUAGGUCUUGAAUUUCAAAGAUGGCGAGUCGGCCGGCUGCUGUCCAGUUCCUGAGAAUAUAAUUUGUGGUUUGGGUAUGAAGGCAGGUGCCAUCAUUUGUGAUGAUUGGGACUGUUUAUCUUUUCCUAUCCUUCUCUAAGCAUCAUACUUUCUGCUUCACCAAGGGAAGUUGGAUUGAGGGGCAAUAUUGGUAUCUCCUACUUGUACAAUGUCCCCUGUGAUAGAAAACUCUUUGGAUACUACCUUAUUCUGAAAGCUCAUGUUACAUGGACACCAGGAGCUAGGUUUCACUGGAAUGGCUCGGGUAACUUCCUAAUAUUGUUUGGGUGGUAUGCCAUAUUAUUGUAUGCAAGCCAUUCUGUUUUUAUUGGUCCGGAAAGUCGUGCAUAUUGUUUUGUAUACAUGGGGCAGUUGAUAUUCGUAUGGCUAUCUCUAAAAGGAUAGUUGUCAAUUGUUUGCACUAGAGGUUCCUAAAAUGGCUUGGCUCCUCCUUUCAAGUGUCUAAGUAACAUGGUUGAAGUUUAUUGGCCCCCAUCCACAGUUAUGGAGCUGGUUAUCCUCGCAGCCCGGUUGACUCACACAUGCUUGUUCAUUUGAUUGGAUAUGGGAAGUGAUGGUAGUGAAGCUGCUCCUUAUCCCUGCUAGGUUAAGAUGUGAAGGACAUAAAAUGUGUGAUCAAUUAUGAUUUUCCAUCAAGCCUAGAGGAUUAUGUCCACAGAAUUGGACGAACUGGUCGUGCAGGGGCAACAGGAACUGCUUUAACCUUUUUCACACACGCAAAUGCGAAAUUUGCUAGGGAACUAAUCAAGAUCCUGCAAGAAGCAGGUCAGGUGGUGAGCCCCGCAUUGGCUGCAAUGUCCCGGUCAAGUGGUAGUUUCGGAGGCUCUGGAGGGAACUUCCGGAAUAGAGGGCGAGGAGGAGGAUUUGGGAACCGGAUUUCGGGUUCAAAUACUGUUCCUAUUGGUUACAAGAGACCUUGGUAGAGUCUCUGUAUUGCAGCUCAGCUGGCUAACGUAUUUACUUCGGUUUGAAACAAGAAAGACAAGAGUGUAUUGGAAACAUGCUAUUUUUAGAGUUAUCCUAAUGAUAUGAUUUAAUUUUAUACA